GGUUGAAGGCAUAUGAAUAUUCAGUGCGGCGGCUAUACAUGCAAGUCGAGCGGACAGAAGGGAGCUUGCUCCCGGAUGUUAGCGGCGGACGGGUGAGUAACACGUGGGUAACCUGCCUGUAAGACUGGGAUAACUCCGGGAAACCGGAGCUAAUACCGGAUAGUUCCUUGAACCGCAUGGUUCAAGGAUGAAAGACGGUUUCGGCUGUCACUUGCAGAUGGACCCGCGGCGCAUUAGCUAGUUGGUGAGGUAACGGCUCACCAAGGCGACGAUGCGUAGCCGACCUGAGAGGGUGAUCGGCCACACUGGGACUGAGACACGGCCCAGACUCCUACGGGAGGCAGCAGUAGGGAAUCUUCCGCAAUGGACGAAAGUCUGACGGAGCAACGCCGCGUGAGUGAUGAAGGUUUUCGGAUCGUAAAGCUCUGUUGUUAGGGAAGAACAAGUGCAAGAGUAACUGCUUGCACCUUGACGGUACCUAACCAGAAAGCCACGGCUAACUACGUGCCAGCAGCCGCGGUAAUACGUAGGUGGCAAGCGUUGUCCGGAAUUAUUGGGCGUAAAGGGCUCGCAGGCGGUUUCUUAAGUCUGAUGUGAAAGCCCCCGGCUCAACCGGGGAGGGUCAUUGGAAACUGGGAAACUUGAGUGCAGAAGAGGAGAGUGGAAUUCCACGUGUAGCGGUGAAAUGCGUAGAGAUGUGGAGGAACACCAGUGGCGAAAGCGACUCUCUGGUCUGUAACUGACGCUGAGGAGCGAAAGCGUGGGGAGCGAACAGGAUUAGAUACCCUGGUAGUCCACGCCGUAACGAUGAGUGCUAAGUGUUAGGGGGUUUCCGCCCCCUUAGUGCUGCAGCUAACGCAUUAAGCACCUCCGCCUGGGGGAGUACGGUCGCAAGGACUGAAACUCAAAGGAAUUGACGGGGCCCGCACAAGCGGUGGGAGCAUGGUGGGUUAAUCGAAGCACGCGAGAAUCUAACAGUCUUGACAUCUCUGACAACCUAGAGAUAGGCUUUCCAUCGGGACGAUUGACGUGAUGCAUGCUUGUCGUCAGCUCGUUCCUUGCAAUGUUCAUUAAGUCAGCAACUGAGCACUUGACUUAGUUGCCAGCAUUAAGUUGGGC
rnacentral:rRNA from 1 species